rnacentral:rRNA from 1 species
GACGAACGCUGGCGGCGUGCCUAAUACAUGCAAGUUGAGCGCUGAAGGUUGGUACUUGUACCAACUGGAUGAGCAGCGAACGGGUGAGUAACGCGUGGGGAAUCUGCCUUUGAGCGGGGGACAACAUUUGGAAACGAAUGCUAAUACCGCAUAAAAACUUUAAACACAAGUUUUAAGUUUGAAAGAUGCAAUUGCAUCACUCAAAGAUGAUCCCGCGUUGUAUUAGCUUGUUGGUGAGGUAAAGGCUCACCAAGGCGAUGAUACAUAGCCGACCUGAGAGGGUGAUCGGCCACAUUGGGACUGAGACACGGCCCAAACUCCUACGGGAGGCAGCAGUAGGGAAUCUUCGGCAAUGGACGAAAGUCUGACCGAGCAACGCCGCGGGAGUGAAGAAGGUUUUCGGAUCGUAAAACUCGGUUGGUAGAGAAGAACGUUGGUGAGAGUGGAAAGCUCAUCAAGUGACGGUAACUACCCAGAAAGGGACGGCUAACUACGUG